UAUGCUAGAGCAUUUUUUGAGUGGAGACUCUAGGUAAGCCAACCAGCAAUCCACAUGCACAGUGCCUAUUAAAGAAACUAUUGCAUCAUCUUUGGUGUCAGAUGUUUCAGAUGAAGCAUGCUGCAUUAGCGACACAGGCUUGUUUGCUUAUACACAUUUUAAUUUCUCAAACCAUAUGCAGAUAUUCUGGGGUACGAUAAAUCGAGACACCGUUGCUUGGAUGAAGACAUUGUGCAAGAAGGCCCUGGGCCUUUAAGAAACUUGACUUCCCAUCUUUUGGGACGCUUGCUGUCUCAAUUUGAGUUUAGAGUAUGGCAAUGCUAGAGUUUUAAGGGAGAAGUGCCAAAAAA
rnacentral:lncRNA from 1 species